ACGAACGCUGGCGGCAGGCUUCACACAUGCAAGUCGAGCGCCCCGCAAGGGGAGCGGCCGACGGGUGAGUAACGCGUGGGAACGUACCUUUUGGUUCGGAACAACUCCGGGAAACUGGAGCUAAUACCGGAUAAGCCCUAACGGGGAAAGAUUUAUCGCCGAAAGAUCGGCCCGCGUCUGAUUAGCUAGUUGGUGAGGUAACGGCUCACCAAGGCGACGAUCAGUAGCUGGUCUGAGAGGAUGAUCAGCCACACUGGGACUGAGACACGGCCCAGACUCCUACGGGAGGCAGCAGUGGGGAAUAUUGGACAAUGGGCGCAAGCCUGAUCCAGCCAUGCCGCGUGAGUGAUGAAGGCCUUAGGGUUGUAAAGCUCUUUUGUCCGGGAAGAUAAUGACUGUACCGGAAGAAUAAGCCCCGGCUAACUUCGUG
rnacentral:rRNA from 1 species